rnacentral:rRNA from 1 species
GACGUAGGGCGCGAGCGUUGUCCGGAUUUAUUGGGCGUAAAGAGCUCGUAGGCGGUUUGUCGCGUCGUUCGUGAAAACUCACAGCUUAACUGUGAGCUUGCGGUCGAUACGGGCAGGCUAGAGUUCGGUAGGGGAGACUGGAAUUCCUGGUGUAGCGGUGAAAUGCGCAGAUAUCAGGAGGAACACCAGUGGCGAAGGCGGCUACCUGGACAGAUACUGACACUGAGGCGCGAGAGCGUGGGGAGCAAACAGG